rnacentral:misc_RNA from 1 species
GAUGAAGAACGUAGCGAAAUGCGAUAAGUAAUGUGAAUUGCAGAAUUCAGUGAAUCAUCGAAUCUUUGAACGCACCUUGCACCCUUUGGUAUUCCGAAGGGUAUGCUCGUUUGAGUGUCAUUGUACUCUCACACUUCUAAUUCCUUUCGGGAUUGGGAGCGGUGGACUUGGGUGUUGCUGCUUUAGUUGUGGCUCACCUCAAAUAAGUUAGUGCAACUCUUGGUUGGACAUAGUACGGCGUGAUAAGUGUCUUCGCCGGCGCCUCUGUAAGGAGGGUGGCCGAUCGGGAGCUCUGUGCUUCAAACCGUCUUCGGACAACAUCUGACAACUUGACCUCAAAUCGAGUAGGACUACCCGCUGAACUUAAGCAUAUCAAUAAGCGGAGGA